rnacentral:rRNA from 1 species
GGAUGAACGCUGGCGGCGUGCCUAACACAUGCAAGUCGAGCGCGAAUAGGGGCAACCCUUAGUAGAGCGGCGCACGGGUGCGUAACACGUGGGUAAUCUGCCCUGAAGCCUGGGAUAACCAGCCGAAAGGUUGGCUAAUACCGGAUAAGACCUCGGACUCCUCGGAGUCUGCGGGAAAAGGUGGCCUCUGUAUACAAGCUAUCGCUUCUGGAUGAGCCCGCGGCCCAUCAGCUAGUUGGCGGGGUAAUGGCCCACCAAGGCAACGACGGGUAGCUGGUCUGAGAGGACGAUCAGCCACACUGGAACUGAGACACGGUCCAGACUCCUACGGGAGGCAGCAGUGGGGAAUUUUGCGCAAUGGGCGAAAGCCUGACGCAGCAACGCCGCGUGUGUGAUGAAGGUCUUCGGAUUGUAAAGCACUUUCGGCCGGGACGAAAACCCUGAGGCUAACAUCCUCAGGCUUGACGGUACCGGAAGAAGAAGCACCGGCUAACUCUGUGCCAGCAGCCGCGGUAA